rnacentral:rRNA from 3 species
GGGUUGUGAGGUUAAGCGACUAAGCGUACACGGUGGAUGCCCUGGCAGUCAGAGGCGAUGAAGGGCGUGCUAAUCUGCGAUAAGCGCCGGUAAGGUGAUAUGAACCGUUAUAACCGGCGAUACCCGAAUGGGGAAACCCAGUGUGACUCGUCACACUAUCAUUAACUGAAUCCAUAGGUUAAUGAGGCGAACCGGGGGAACUGAAACAUCUAAGUACCCCGAGGAAAAGAAAUCAACCGAGAUUCCCCCAGUAGCGGCGAGCGAACGGGGAGGAGCCCAGAGCCUGAAUCAGCAUGUGUGUUAGUGGAAGCGUCUGGAAAGGCGCGCGAUACAGGGUGACAGCCCCGUACACAAAAGCGCAUGUGCUGUGAGCUCGAUGAGUAGGGCGGGACACGUGGUAUCCUGUCUGAAUAUGGGGGGACCAUCCUCCAAGGCUAAAUACUCCUGACUGACCGAUAGUGAACCAGUACCGUGAGGGAAAGGCGAAAAGAACCCCGGCGAGGGGAGUGAAAAAGAACCUGAAACCGUGUACGUACAAGCAGUGGGAGCACAGGUUUACCUGUGUGACUGCGUACCUUUUGUAUAAUGGGUCAGCGACUUAUAUUCUGUAGCAAGGUUAACCGAAUAGGGGAGCCG